GAUGAACGCUGGCGGCGUGCCUAAUACAUGCAAGUCGAGCGAACAGACGAGGAGCUUGCUCCUCUGACGUUAGCGGCGGACGGGUGAGUAACACGUGGAUAACCUACCUAUAAGACUGGGAUAACUUCGGGAAACCGGAGCUAAUACCGGAUAAUAUAUUGAACCGCAUGGUUCAAUAGUGAAAGACGGUUUUGCUGUCACUUAUAGAUGGAUCCGCGCCGCAUUAGCUAGUUGGUAAGGUAACGGCUUACCAAGGCAACGAUGCGUAGCCGACCUGAGAGGGUGAUCGGCCACACUGGAACUGAGACACGGACCAGACUCCUACGGGAGGCAGCAGUAGGGAAUCUUCCGCAAUGGGCGAAAGCUUGACGGAGCAACGCCGCGUGAGUGAUGAAGGUCUUCGGAUCGUAAAACUCUGUUAUUAGGGAAGAACAAAAGUGUAAGUAACUAUGCACGUCUUGACGGUACCUAAUCAGAAAGCCACGGCUAACUACGUG
rnacentral:rRNA from 1 species